GUGGGGAAUCUUAGACAAUGGGGGAAACCCUGAUCUAGCCAUGCCGCGUGAGCGAUGAAGGCCUUAGGGUUGUAAAGCUCUUUCAGCUGGGAAGAUAAUGACGGUACCAGCAGAAGAAGCCCCGGCUAACUUCGAGCCAGCAGCCGCGGUAAUACGGAGGGGGCUAGCGUUGUUCGGAAUUAUUGGGCGUAAAGCGCGCGUCGGCGGACCAGAAGGUUGGAGGUGAAAUCCCAGGGCUAAACCUUGGAACGGACUUCAAAACGCCUGGUGUGGAGUUCGAGGGAGGUGGGUGGAAUUCCGAGUGUAGAGGUGAAAGUCGUAGAUAUUCGGAGGAACACCAGUGGCGAAGGCGGCUCACUGGCUCGAUACUGACGCUGAGGUGCGAAGGCGUGGGGAGCAAACAGGAUUAGAAACCCUUGUAGUCC
rnacentral:rRNA from 1 species